UGGGACCAAAAAAGAAGAAAGCUUUUGAGGGGUUUGGAUUCUAGGGGUUGAAAAUUAAAGUGGGAUCUCUAAGUGGUUCGGGGCUCAAUUUAGUUUCUGGUGCGACCCAGCGAGAUACAAGAAUUUGGGAAUACAAUGGUUCAAGUCUAUUCUCAAGUCUGGGCAGACAUUAAGGUAAUUACAAGACACCCAAUUUCACCUGAUCCCCAAUUUAAAACUCGUGUUGAUUUUCCAUUCCAUAGUCCAUUUGUGUUCAUCCGUGUAUUAUUACUGUUCUCAACCCAUCGUCACUUGAUACCCAUUUUGAGUUCCGAAGAUAAUGCGAAUUCUUGCGAGGUUUUGGAGAAAUGUGUUGGCUCUUUGGUUGGUGGUCAGGUUUCAAAGAGGGGGUUCAGAAGGCGUUUCAGAUUUAAAAGCUAGAAUGCCCAAUUUAGUUGAGGACAGAGGUGCGUAUGUUCCCAAAACGGGUUUUGGUUUGGAUUGUGUGGGAAUUGGACUAGUUGAGUUCAGGCUAGAUGAUAGUGUUUUAUUGCACUCUUACUUGGUUCCUGUGGUGUCAUUUGUUAGGAUGGAUGCUUCUUUACAUUGAGGGACGCAGCCGAAGUGGGGUAAGCCGUAAGCCAAAAGCUUUUCACGAGUUGGGGGUGGAGCUUUGCUUGGUUUCUUGAAAUCCCAAUUAAGUUUUCAGGUUGUAGGUGUGGAAUCCGAUGAGGAGGUGCUAAGGGUUUCUUGGCAGUAUUUUGGAGAGCAUAUCAAAAUUUGUGUUGGAGAUGUUUUAAAAGUUUUUGAUAGACUUGCUGGUGCCUGCGAGGUAGAGGCUGGUUGUGACGUGGGCAGUGCCAAUGAUGUUGAUACUAAAUUUGAUGUGAUUAUGGUUGAUUUGGAUUCAACUGAUGCUAGGGAUGGUCUAAUUGCUCCGCCAUUGGAGUUUGUUAGGAAGCAUGUCCUUUUGUCAGCCAGAUCAAUUCUCUCUGAUAAUGGAAUCCUAGCUCUAAAUGUGAUUCCUCCAAAUACAUCAAUUUACAAGACAUUGAUCCAUGAGUUUCGAGAUGUUUUUUUAUGAGUUAUACAAAAUAGAUGUGGGAAAUGGGGAAUAUUCUAUUCUUGUUGCUGUGGCAUCUCCUCUGAUGCCUUCUAGUGAUUGUGAGAACUGUUUCCUCAACAAACUAGGAAAAGCUAUAUCUGGGGUAUACUUGAAUUCCAUAAAGAAUAUCUAAGCUUUAAUCCUAUCUUUAGUAAAGGGAAUAGCUAUCGGUAGGGGGAAGACAUAGAAGGAACCAUUCUUUCUUAUGUUGUGAAAGUAAGGAAAGGAGGAGGGAUGAACAGCCGAGAUACUUGGAAUAAUUUUACCUUCAAGCUCCAGUCUUUAAUUAGUCCACUACUACAUGAAUUGGAGGAGAGAAGAUGAAAGAGUAGAAAAAUUCUUUACAGCACUAAUUCUUGUUCUCACUUCAACUUCCCCUCCAAGUUUCCAUUUUUAUCCAAAAUACCAUGGAGAUAGAGGAAUUAAAUGGUGGAUAUUGUGUUUAGAGUGAAACAUGCCCAAACAGUUUGCUUGGGAGUAUAAACUGCAAGUGGUCUCCUGAAGAAACCGACAUUAGGAUGCUGGACAGGUCAUUUGGGGAUAUUGAUAAAUAAGUGAGUAGUGAUGAGCCAGGAAGAUUUGGACAGUAGCAUUAAUGGCUUUAUCGAAUGUGGAGCUGACCAAGUAAAUGGACCAUUUUUGCAUUGUUAAGUGGCCAGAAGAUAAGAGGCUAAUGGAAAAUUGGAUGAAGAAUUCAGUGAUUAUGAGGCUGCAACAAUGAUUUGGGCAGCAGCAGAGUUGCUGACAUUGAACGUGGAGGCAGUCACAGAUUGAUAGCAGACGGGGAAUUAGGGAGUAAGGACAAUUGUCAAGGACUGGACUCAUUUUCUCCUUCUGUAAAGGUCACAAGGUCUUGUUCUUGAAAAGAACACACGAAUGGAAAAGGGCGAGGGGUGGCGACGGAGAGAGAUAGAGUAAAGAACUAAAGGAGAAAUAUUAAAGCUCCAGCAACACAUCUGCUUGUGGAUAUCUUGUGCACCGUUCUGUGCAUUCUCUUUUUCAGUGGCUAUAACAAAAAUUAGAAACAUAAACGAGGGAAAAAUAUUAAAGGAAAUGUGUGGGGAAAAUCAGCUUUCUUGCAUCUAGUUCUCGGCCUGUUUACUUUUUUCAUCAUCAUCAUCAGAAGCAUCAAGAGCAUUGCCUAAGGACCGCUUGGAACAGAUGCUUCCCAAGAAGCUACCUACUCCUUAUUCAGCUCCCUCCGAAGGCACAAAUUCUGCAACAAAGUCUUCUUCCAAAGCCUUCGAAGCUCAUAGGAACCUCCCUUCAUUAGAUGGAAAGGUCUAGAAACAGUUUUAUAUGUGAAGAGUUUAGUUUCAAUUCUAUCUCUAACUGCAAAAAAAAUGCAAGCCGCGGCACUGUGCUGCUCAAACGGUAGCAUGCAGAGAUUUUAAAUCAGCUUAUGCACCGAACCAUACCCUUGUAGAUUUCUUUUGACUUUAGUCUGCUGGUACAGCCUCUUGUAAAAAUAGGAAAGUAGAUUCAUUACUGGACAGGCUGCAUUAGCAAUCAUAAUUUGGGACAGUUGCGAGAUAUGGAGCUUCUUUUAUUUUGCUCUCAUGGCCAUAUAAUCAUAUAUCACUUGCAUUAUUUUCUUUUUACUUCUUCCAUAGAGCAACAUCUUUGUGUAAUCUGUAUUUAGUUUCCUACAAAUUAAGUCUGGUGAUGCCUUGAUCAAGACAGAUCUAUUUUUGAACUACAACUUAAUGUGUUUAAGGUCUGUGUGGGAUUUCACUUCUGUUUCUUCACAGGAGGGUCUAUAUGGAUUUUUCUUCCGAGGAAAGCUAAAGUUUCUGACUAAAUACAUUUUUUUUUGUUCUUGUCUCAAGCCUGUUUUGAAUAACAAACAUGUCCUGGUGUUAUGAGCUUGUGUACAAGAUAAAAAAUAGAUAUCACAAAUACCCACGCACUUCUUUUUGGCCUA